UGCAGUAGUAAUGUUGUUGUAGCAGUCUCAUCAGUGAUUGUGAGUUGCAUUAUCUCAUCCAUAGUAACAGCACUAGUUACUUUGAUCAUCAGUUGCUAUUUUCAUAAAAAAUCCAUCAAUAAAAGUAGAUCAAUUGAUAGACUGAAAGAUAUCCCAGUUGAUGUUAAUUUAGCUUACUCAUCACAGACACCAGAAUAUGAACAGAUUUCUGGUCCAUCAACAACUGAAAAACAAUAUGAAAAUAUUGAUGCACUCCACUGAUGACUUUGCAAACAACAUGCACCACAUUUAAUGUCUUCCUUUUUUGCUUAUUAUCAGCUAGAAUCAUGCCAAAUUUGUGCCAUUUAGUAGAAAUAUAAUUAUGUAUUUUUGUGUAUUCAAAUGCUGAGCAUUAUUAUAGCAAAAAAAUUACUUUGAGUAUUUACACUAAUAACAA